rnacentral:rRNA from 1 species
CGUGUCUCUAGUGCCAGCAGCCGCGGUAAUACGUAGGUGACAAGCGUUGUCCGGAUUUACUGGGUGUAAAGGGCGCGCAGGCGGGACAGCAAGUUCAGGAGUGAAAUACCCGGUGCUCAACAUCGGGGCUGCUUUUGAAACUGUUGUUCUUGAGUAGUCGGAGAGGAAAGUCGGAAUUCCCAGUGUAGCGGUGAAAUGCGUAGAUAUGGGAGGAACACCAGUGGCGAAGGCGGCUUUCUGGACGACAACUGACGCUGAGGACGCGAAAGGUGUGGGGANCGAAAACAGGAUUACGAUACCCUGGUAGUCCACACCGUAAAGAUGGAUACUAGGUGUAGGAGGUAUCGAUCCCUUNUGUGCCGGAGUAAACACAAUAAGUAUCCCACC